rnacentral:rRNA from 1 species
GGAGCGCUUUACACAUGCAAGUCGAACGGAAACGUGGGGAGGAGCUUGCUCCGCCCCGACGACGAGUGGCGAACGGGUGAGUAAUACAUCGCAACGGGUCCGCUCGUGUGGGACAACCGGACGAAAGGUUGGCUAGUACCCCAUGACUUCUUCAGAACAAAGAGGGGGAUGCGCAAGGGCCUCUCGCGAGCGGAGCGUCCGAUGACUGAUUAGCCUGUUGGUGAGGUAACGGCUCACCGAAGCAACGAUCAGAAGCUGGUCUGACAAGACGACCAGGCCGACUGGGACUGAGACACGGCCCACGACUCCUACGGGAGGCAGCGGUGGGGAAUUUUGGACAAUGGGCGCAUGCCUGAUCCCGCUAUUCCGCGUGUGGGAUGAAGGCCCUCGGGUUGUAAACCACUUUUGUACAGAACGAAAAGACAUCUUCGAAUAAAGGAUGUUGCUGACGGUACUCUAACAAUAAUGCACCGGCUAACUACGUGCCAGCAGCCGCGGUAAUACGUAGGGUGCGAGCGUUGAUCGGAAUUACUGGACGUAAAGGCUGCGCUGGCGGUUGAGUACGACAGAUGUGAAAUCCCCUAGCUUAACUCGUGAAUGGCAUAUGUGACUGCUCGACUAGAGUGUGUCCUAGGGAGGUGGAAUUCCGCGUGUAUCUGUGAAGUGCGUAGAUAUGUGGAAGAAC